rnacentral:lncRNA from 1 species
UCGGUUGUCACAUAGGCAUUUAACAAUAAAAAAAUGCAACAAAGAAAAAAGAGAGAGACCGGCCAUGGUGCCUGAGUAUCGAUCUAAACCUUGCACUUUUGUUUAUCUUUUUGUUCUUUUUUAUUAUUUUUAAUUGUUUUUUUUUUCAAUUCUCCUUAUUUUAUCUCUUUUUUUACUUACUUCAUUAUAUUAAUUAAAGUUUAUUGCUGUUUUUUUGGAUUGAAUUUGUAUGAUACAAUAAACUUAUAGAUAAUGUCACGUGUCAAGUUUUUAAUAGUAUCCUCAUUUCCUUAUAUCCAGAGGUGUGGGUUCGAAACCUAGAUGAUGCCACCAUUUUUCAUUUCUCAACAAUUUUUUUAUUAUUUUUUUCUAUUUUUUCAUUUAUUUGUGUUUUUUUUUCUUUCUUAUUUUUUCGUUUCGUUUUAAUUUUUUUUCAAUAUUUUUUAUUUCUCUCUCCGUCAAUAAAGAUUGUGUGUUUAUUACUAUUUUCGUCUGUCCAUUAAGAUUGUGUGUUUUUCUUUUUUAGAAACAUCAUUUAUAAUUUAAACCUCAUUCACACUUAAUAUUUACAAAAUACCCACCAUUUACUUUCACAAUUUGGUGGGCUCAAUACUACCCUUCAAUACUAAAAUCAC